rnacentral:tRNA from 1 species
GGUGGGUCUAAUGGGAUAUCAUUGCCUAUAAUUACCCAUCAUUCUGCUUUUUAACCGCCCUUUCACGGCGGCAACAGGGGUUCGAAUCCCCUACGGGAUGCCA